rnacentral:rRNA from 1 species
CCUACGGGUGGCAGCAGUAGGGAAUAUUGCUCAAUGGGCGACACCCUGAAGCAGCAACGCCGCGUGGAGGAUGAAGGUUUUCGGAUUGUAAAAUCCUUUUGUUAGAGAAGAUAAUGACGGUAUCUAACGAAUAACCACCGGCUAACCCCUUACCAGCAGCCGCAGUAAUACGGAGGGUGCAAGCGUUACUCGGAAUCACUGGGCGUAAAGAGAUCGUAUGCGGGAUAGUAAGUCAGAUGUGAAAUCCUAUGGCUUAACCAUAGUAGUGCAUUUGAAACUGUUAGUCGAGAGUAUGGGAGAGGUAGGUGGAAGUCUUGGUGGAGGGGUAAAAUGCGUAGAUAUAAAGAGGAAUACUCAUUGCGAAGGCGACUCGCUAG